rnacentral:rRNA from 1 species
ACGCGAAGAACCUUACCUGCUCUUGACAUCCAGAGAACUUACCAGAGAUGCUUUGGUGCCUUCGGGAACUCUGAGACAGGUGCUGCAUGGCUGUCGUCAGCUCGUGUUGUGAAAUGUUGGGUUAAGUCCCGCAACGAGCGCAACCCUUAUCCUUUGUUGCCAGCGGUUCGGCCGGGAACUCAAAGGAGACUGCCAGUGAUAAACUGGAGGAAGGUGGGGAUGACGUCAAGUCAUCAUGGCCCUUACGACUAGGGCUACACACGUGCUACAAUGGCGCAUACAAAGAGAAGCCACCUCGCGAGAGCAAGCGGACCUCAUAAAGUGUGUCGUAGUCCGGAUUGGAGUCU